UACAGAGGGUGCUAGCGUUGUUCGGAAUCAUUGGGCGUAAAGGGCGUGUAGGCGGUUUGUUAAGUCAUGUGUGAAAUCCCUCGGCUCAACCGGGGAACGACGCAUGAAACUGGCAAGCUAGAGUACCAAAGAGGGGGGUGGAAUUCCCGGUGUAGCGGUGAAAUGCGUAGAUAUGGGGAGGAACACCGGUGGCGAAGGCGGCCACCUGGACGGUAACUGACGCUGAGACGCGAAAGCGUGGGGAGCAAACAGG
rnacentral:rRNA from 1 species